rnacentral:rRNA from 1 species
UACGAAGGGGGCUAGCGUUGUUCGGAAUCACUGGGCGUAAAGCGCACGCAGGCGGAUUGAUAAGUCAGGGGUGAAAUCCCGGAGCUCAACUUCGGAAUUGCCUUUGAUACUGUCUGUCUUCGAGUUCGGGAGAGGUUGGCGGAAUUCCUAGUGUAGAGGUGAAAUUCGUAGAUAUUAGGAAGAACACCAGUGGCGAAGGCGGCCAACUGGCCCGAUACUGACGCUCAUGUGCGAAAGCGUGGGGAGCGAACAGG